AAUCCAUAGGUUAAUGAGGCGAACCGGGGGAACUGAAACAUCUAAGUACCCCGAGGAAAAGAAAUCAACCGAGAUUCCCCCAGUAGCGGCGAGCGAACGGGGAGGAGCCCAGAGCCUGAAUCAGCAUGUGUGUUAGUGGAAGCGUCUGGAAAGGCGCGCGAUACAGGGUGACAGCCCCGUACACAAAAGCGCAUGUGCUGUGAGCUCGAUGAGUAGGGCGGGACACGUGGUAUCCUGUCUGAAUAUGGGGGGACCAUCCUCCAAGGCUAAAUACUCCUGACUGACCGAUAGUGAACCAGUACCGUGAGGGAAAGGCGAAAAGAACCCCGGCGAGGGGAGUGAAAAAGAACCUGAAACCGUGUACGUACAAGCAGUGGGAGCCCCACCACUAAGCCAGUGGUGAACUCCACAUCCGCAUCCUUUGCUGAGGAUACGGUUAACGGAGCGAAAGCGACGUUCAACCGCAAAACAAGCAGAGGGGGCUUAGUGGUGGGGUGACUGCGUACCUUUUGUAUAAUGGGUCAGCGACUUAUAUUCUGUAGCAAGGUUAACCGAAUAGGGGAGCCGGAGGGAAACCGAGUCUUAAU
rnacentral:rRNA from 1 species